CCCUCUUCCGCUUCUCGUCAAUCCACUGCCCACUCCCUCUCCCUCCACUUCGCCUGCCUCUACUCCUCCGCAUCCUCUUCUCUCCUCCUCAUCAAGCCUCCGCUCAUUUUCUCUGCAAGAUCCUUGCCUUCUCUAGCCCUUUCUUCAUCGAUCGCGCCCUCAGCGACGCUGGCAUUCGCGUCUCCUCACAGGAUGUGGAGGUCGUGCCUAAGAUCUCUUCUUCCCAACCGGUGCCGCCUUCGCCCUAUCUCGACCAUCUAAAAGUUGGCGUUUAUGAGAGGAGGAAGGGGAAAGAGAUUCAUCCUUGCGGCGUGAGGAUGUAGCACCUUCUGUCGCAUCCUUCCUGUUCAAUCUGGCUUAGAUCGCUAACGCAUAGCGCAGUUCCGUUCACCAGAUGGCGGUUUGAUCUUCUAGCGCUGUCGAAUAUCUUUGUUACGCACAGAUGGUAAUGGUUUCUUCCCUUCUAUUCGGAUUCAUCUCUCUUGCAAUGUGAUGAGGGUUGAAACCUUUUUUCCGGCUUUAGUUGUUGAUUUAUCGCGGUUUUCCAAUUGUAAUCAAUCGUCGAUCUUUGGGAAACUUCUGGAUUUUAUUAGGUUGGGGAAACAUUUGUGGAUCAGUAUUAUAAUUACCUCUGCAAUUCUGCGGAGUUAGUUCAUCGUUACCUGCCCAUCGAUUAAAUUUCAGGUUUAUAUCAGACAAGCUCUUGAUCAUCUUGUUGGUUUGUGCGGUGAUCUUUCUUUUACACCGAAGCUUCCCAAAAUAAAGAUUCACCUUGUAUGAAUGAAAUGAGUGAUAAAAUGAGCACAAGACUGUGGUCCUCUGAACAACAGAGAGAGUUGAGCUUGGAAGGAAGAAGAACCAGAUAAUGUGAUUGAUGUAACUGCCGAUAGCUUUCCACCUCCACUGGUUAAAUCAGAGACUAAAAGUGAUCAUGAGGAGAAUCUCAAAAAGCCUUAUGCUUCAGUAGUAAGUGUUGAUCUUGAGUAGAUGCAUGUAAUUUGUUAGUUUUGCACACGUUCAUUAAAACUGUAAAAGAGCAGAAUGACUUGAUGUAUACAGCUCAAAGUUAUGAAGGAUAUUGCUUUAGAAUCUUCUCCAGCAUGAUGUCCUGCUUCACAUCAUCCAGCUUCUUGUGGCCCUAUUUCUGGAUCGAUUGGUUCUUAAAGCAAAAAAAAAUCUAGAAGGCACAAUAUACUAACUUCACAUCAAGUUUUUUACAAUGCUUUGCAGUUUGAUUGCAUAAACAUUUAAACUUAUCCUGCUACUUACAGAUGAUGCUUAUUCAUUAUAUUUGAAUUAUUUACCAUUUGAUGCAACACCUGCUCAAGUUGAAGAAGAGUUCAAGACGUUUGGUCCUAUAAAGCCUAGUGGAAUACAAGUCAAACGCUAUAAGUUACAAAAUUCUUGCUUUGGUUUCGUGGAGUUUAAGUUCUCAGUUGUUGUCCAGCGGGCAAUAGAGGUAAACUUCACAUACCUUCAUCUCAAUUACAUUUAUGGAUUAAUAUGAAUCAAAGGCUAUUCAAUUGGGUUUACUCUUUUUAAAAUGAUGAUCAAGGAUAUCAAUUUGUUGUACAAUUGACUGGUAAACUUUCAAAUUUUCCAUUCUGAUGUGUUUGGUUGGUUAGGUGGAUCCAUUUGUGAUUGUAACCUAAGAUGUGUUUUGUUCCUAAAGAGAUGCUAAGUUAAAGGGAAAGAAAAGAGAAGUAAAAAAAACUAAACAGAUUAUUAGGUACGCUUCCAAUAUCCUAUUAAAUUCUAAAUCUUUGUAUGAAUAAAAUACUCACUAGAUUAUUAGAUAUUCUUCGAAGAUUAUGGAACUAUUUUCAUUUCUAUUGUUUUGAUUUGGGCAUUUGUCUCUAGAUACUGAAGUGGGUUCUGAACUAGCGACAAACAUUCAGGUUAUAUCUCAUGACCCAUCAUACAAUUUUUUUUUUGUUAUCUUCCUUGGUAGUAGAAACUUGUGUUAUUAAAUUUUGCAAGGUUUUGAUAACUUUGAAGAGGAGCUUAAGAAAUUAGUAGCUAUGGUCUUUGAGAAGGUAUUUUCCAAUUGUGAUAAUUAUAUAGUCAAAGCCUUCUUAGAAAAUUAACUCUUACCAUUGUAGUCUUGCUAUUUGUUUGGUUGUGGAAAGUGUGUUGUCAAAUUUAUGUUGCUAUUGCUACCACUGUUAUUAUUUUAAAAAAAAAUAAUGAAGUUUUUAAUCUGUUCCAACUGUGCUUGAAUUUUUUAUUUUCAUUACAGGCAAGGUUAAUGAUUUUGAUAGAUACAUCGACCAUGGAUCACCUAUGGACCAAAUUAAAGCGCUGGACUUAAAGAGCUGGAAGUUAGUGAAAUGGCCAAACAUAUUCAAUAGAUUUUUAACUUACAUAUAUGGGUUAGUUUAAUGAGAUAUUUGUAAUCUAUUCUGUACAAUAACUAUCAGUUAAUGAGUAAUACCUUAUUUUCAUCA